rnacentral:rRNA from 1 species
UUGUUGGUAAGGUAAAAGCUUACCAAGGCUUCGAUCAGUAGCUGGUCUGAGAGGACGACCAGCCACACUGGGACUGAGACACGGCCCAGACUCCUACGGGAGGCAGCAGUGGGGAAUUUUGGACAAUGGGGGCAACCCUGAUCCAGCCAUGCCGCGUGAGUGAAGAAGGCCUUCGGGUUGUAAAGCUCUUUCAGCCGGAACGAAACGGUUACGGAUAACACCCGUGACUACUGACGGUACCGGAAGAAGAAGCACCGGCUAACUACGUGCCAGCAGCCGCGGUAAUACGUAGGGUGCGAGCGUUAAUCGGAAUUACUGGGCGUAAAGCGUGCGCAGGUGGUUUUGUAAGUCAGAUGUGAAAGCCCCGGGCUCAACCUGGGAACUGCGUUUGAAACUACAAGACUAGAGUGUGGCAGAGGGGGGUGGAAUUCCGCGUGUAGCAGUGAAAUGCGUAGAGAUGUGGAGGAACACCGAUGGCGAAGGCAGCCCCCUGGGUCAACACUGACGCUCAGGCACGAAAGCAUGGGGAGCAAACAGGAUUAGAUACCCUGGUAGUCCAUGCCCUAAACGAUGUCAACUAGUUGUCGGGCCUUUACGGGCUUGGUAACGUAGCUAAUGCGUGAAGUUGACCGCCUGGGGAGUACGAUCGCAAGAUUAAAACUCAAAUGAAUUGACGGGGACCCGCACAAGCGGUGGAUUAUGUGGAUUAAUUCGAUGCAACGCGAAAAACCUUACCUACCCUUGACAUGUAUCGAAGCCCGCAGAAAAGCGGGGGUGCCCGAAAGGGAACGAUAACACAGGUGCUGCAUGGCUGUCGUCAGCUCGUGUCGUGAGAUGUUGGGUUAAGUCCCGCAACGAGCGCAACCCUUGUCAUUAAUUGCCAUCAUUUAGUUGGGCACUUUAAUGAGACUGCCGG